GAGCCCCGGAGCACACGCAUUCCCCACCACCAAGCUACAGCCUCUCACGCAGUUGCGGUUUUUUAUUUUUCUGGCCUAACUGCGUCGGACAGGGCGCCGCGGGUACCCAGCUACCUCGGCACCUCCAAGGGCUCCGGCAACAACCGCCCUUACUCCCACCGCCAACAACGCCGCACUCGCGGUCGGCGCGGCCCGUCUGACCGCACGCGGAGCCGCCACACGCGGCGGCUUCCAAAGCAGCCAAACGCUGCGAGUAACCGACGCCGCCGCAGGGGGCGACGGCACCGAGCCGCGAGCAGACGCCAGAGCCUGAGGUGAAGUCUAGAACUCCAUAUGCCACCAAGAGGCACAGUUCCACUGAAGAAGAUGAGGACCAAGGACUUGGAUUUGGCAAAAUAAAGUGAUGAAUGUUCUUCAAAGAAGUGUCACCUCUUAUCUAAGUAUUAUUUUCUCAUCUAAAUAUUAGUGAAACUGUUUGUAGAAGCACACCAAAAAAUACUGACAUGAUUACUGAUGCAUGCUCCUAAGUGCCUGUUCAUAUAUUAGCAACAAUCCAUUACUUCCUUAACAGAAUUACUCUCAACCACAAGCCAUUUAAGUCAAAAAAGGAAACUGCUUACCAUCCAAAUCCAGCUGCUAGCAGGAGCUAUUUUCCUCCUUCAUUGAGACCACUUGUGUCUGGGAUAACCUCUACGGACACUAGGAACAACAUGCGUAAAGGCAAGUGGUCCCCUCCAAGAAGUGGGCAAACUGAACAACAGGAUGUUCUGAUGAAAAUACAUGCUGCUAGGAGUGGCUCUCGUGCACACCUUUUGUGGCCAGCAGGUGAGAAAAGAAUCAGUUCUGGAAACUAUAUGAUGAAAGGAAGUAUGAAGGCAGCGCAGAGCUGACAACACUGUUUUCUGCAUGCAUCAGCACCUUUCUGAAGAUCACUGACGGAAAAAAUUACUACAACAUCAGGAUUAUCUUGGCAGGAAGUUUUCAAAGAACUGCUGUAUCCAUGUAAAGUCACAGAAGACAUCUGUAUUACAGUCAUUAAAGCAACUUCAAACCUUA